UACGGAGGGUGCAAGCGUUACUCGGAAUCACUGGGCGUAAAGGAUGCGUAGGCUGGAAAUCAAGUCGAGAGUGAAAUCCAACGGCUCAACCGUUGAACUGCUCUCGAAACUGGUUACCUAGAAUAUGGGAGAGGUAGAUGGAAGUAGUGGUGUAGGGGUAAAAGCCGUAGAUAGCACUAGGAAUACCGAUUGCGAAGGCGAUCUACUGGAACAGUAUUUACGCGGAGUCAUGAACGCUUUGUUAGCCAACAGUAUUAGAUCCCAGGGGAGUCC
rnacentral:rRNA from 1 species